AAUCCUCCUAGUGCCAGAAAAGAGAGAUUCUAACUCCCACCCCUAACUCCCAAAGCUAGGAUUCUAAACUAAACUAUUUUCUG
rnacentral:tRNA from 1 species